rnacentral:lncRNA from 1 species
UGUGAUCGUAAUGCUGUGUAGAAUAUUUUUAUGAACUUUUAUAUUUGUUUUACAAUUGUUCGUGUAUUGUUCUAAUUAUAGCUUGUUUGCUUUUUUUAUGAUUGUCUCCAUUGGAAUGCAUGUUGUUGAUUGAUGAUUGGGAAUAGACGGUGAGCCGUACGUUGGUGAUCAAGGCCAAUCUUUUGACGAUCGAAGGAGUUCUAGGAAAGCUUUGAUCAAGGCAAGUAUAACUUAGGACCAUCCUUGUUAGCUACA